rnacentral:rRNA from 1 species
GAGGAAUAUUGGGCAAUGCCCGCAAGGGUGACCCAGCAACGCCGCGUGGAGGAUGAAUGUCGUAAGAUUGUAAACUCCUGUUAGAGGGGAAGAAUAGUACCGGUUGGACCGGUAUAUGACUGUACCCUCAGAGAAAGCCCCGGCUAACUUCGUGCCAGCAGCCGCGGUAAUACGAAGGGGGCUAGCGUUGUUCGGAAUUACUGGGCGUAAAGCGCACGUAGGCGGCUUUCCAAGUUGGAGGUGAAAUCCCCGGGCUUAACCCGGGAACUGCCUCCAAAACUGAAAGGCUAGAGUCCGAGAGAGGUGAGGGGAAUUUCCAGUGUAGAGGUGAAAUUCGUAGAUAUUGGAAAGAACACCAGUGGCGAAGGCGGCUCACUGGCUCGGUACUGACGCUGAGGUGCGACAGCGUGGGGAGCAAACA